CUGCAGUGAGAGGUCUGUGACCCUCACCCGCCCAUGCCGGCACUAUGAUCUUGGACUUCCAGCCUCCAGAACUAUCCAGCUACCAAUUUACAGGAAAUGCAGAAGACAGAGGAAGUAUGUUAAAUGACACCAACAAAAUCCAAACUGUGGAACCCUCUACACAAUAAAGGACCUGGCUUCAUUAACAGAUACAUCGCAAGAGUCAAAAAGGAGACCAUCCACAUAAAAAUUCUGAUUUUGUAUUCUUUUGGAAAAAUGGAAAUACCUGGUAACACUAGCCCAGACCUCCACCGUGUAACGACCAGCCGAAUUGAGAAGUGUUACACGAAGGUGCAGUCCAGGGAACCACAGACCCCACCACUCCCUGGUGCCCUUAAAGCCCACUUCCUGUAUCUAUGCUCCAGCCUCAGCAUCAGCCUCUGGUUUGCAACCCAAAGGAACUUUCCUUUCCUUCCUUCUGGGCCUUCACUCUCCUCCACUGGGCCCAGCCAUCACGGGUCAGGUCGGGCUGGGCCAAAGUGGGUGCUUGACUUUCCCCUCCUUUUCAUGAUGUUUUUCCUCCCAAAUCUUUUUUCUGUGCUCUGAAACCUUUUUGGUCCCCCAAGAGUGGAAGAUUUUGAAACUCAAAAGCCAGAAGGAGACACUUCUUCCUCCUCCAUCCCCUCCGGGGCAGUGCUUCAUAUCACAUCCCUUCCCUGAGGGAGUGAGAAAGAACAACCUGAGGCUUUAAAAGGGGAAACAGCAGAACAGGAUGGGAAGGAAACCAGGGGGGAAAUUUGGUUAAGCAGGAGAUAUGGGUCUUAGACAUAUCAGAUUGGCAAAUAUUAAAAAGUUGGAUGAUAUCAAGUGCCACCAAAGGUGGAGGAAAGCAGAAUAUCUCAUAGGAAUGUUAACUAAUCUUUCUGGGAAGCAGAUUGAAAGUGUUAAGUGAAAUGGAAUAUGGGCCAGUCCUACAACCCAGUACUUGGGGACGCUGAGCCCAGAGACGUUCUUGCCCAGGCCCCCAAAGAAACGUGUGGAUUUGUUCUCGUAGAAUUGUUUGUAAUAAUGAAGAUUUGGAAACACCUAGAAGUUUAUUCAUAGUAAAGUAGAUAAAUAAAAGGUUAUAUGAAAAUGCUGAGUACCAUUCAGCAGAUGAAAGGAAUGCUCUGGUCCAUAUUUACUUAUAUUAACUUGGAGCCAUCUCAAAAAUCUUAUAGUCUUGACUAGAAAAAAGUGAUAAAAGAAUGACAUGUUUACCAAAGACUACUUAAGCAUAUUUUAAAAAAUAUGCACAAAAUAAUACCAAUAUUGGGCCUAGAUGCAAAUAGAAAUAUAGAUUGGCCAGACACAAAGAAUCACAAGGACGUAAGAGGAGAAAAAUGAGAUUGGGGAUGGGGUGAAGGGGUCAAAAAAAUAAAGUAAAAUAAAAGUGAGCCCUGCAUAUGCUAAUAAAGAUGGCGUGCAUGUGGCUAAUUGAUCCUGAGCAAAGGAGGUCUCAGCAAACAGAAAACUGAAGCAAAAGAAAACAUCAGUUAAUGUUUAAAAUAUUAACCUGAUGCCUGUGGAAAGAGAACUCUGUGAAUAACCAGAUGUCUGAUGUGUGCCCAGAGGUGACAGAGCAGUUCUGCAGUCCCUGUGAUUCCCUCCCGCUGAUCUCCUGCUGGGGUCACUCCAUAGCUUGGCCUUGAGUUGCUUUUAUCCACAGACUUUCAGCCUCCUCCCAGCACCGCUGACUGCUCUCAGGAAACCUGUUGGAUCACGAGAUUUUCCCACAGAGAUCAUCACCCUGGGGUAUUUUCAACCUGUUAUUAGCCUCGAGUUCCUCCAGCAAAGUCAGGAUAUCCUGGGAACAAGUACUCCUCCAGCCCCUGAGCCCUCCUUUUUUAUGUGCCUUCAGUACCAAAAACUUUCUCAGACAGAGUGUUAUAUGAUGUCCAGCUUUUUUUGCUUGGGGUGUGGCGGACAGAGGUGAGCGGUUCUGGCCAGCAGCUCUGUUUCCAUUCGAAGCCCCACUCUUGGGGAGUGAGGGGGAGAAAGAGAGACGAUGAGUUAUUUGCUGUCUCCCGAAUCCAUCCUUCUCUCUCUUCCUCUUCCCCUCCGUCCUUUCCUUAGAAACAUAUAUUCAGUGCUGAGUGUGCACAAGGCACGUGGCAGCCCCCAUUGAAUCUGGCAUUGUCCCCUGCCCUCAAGGAGAGUCGAGUCUAGGGGGGAGCAAGCGGUGAGUGUGGUCAAGCAUGGUAGGGAUUUGUGAGGGACGAGGGAGCUUUGAGACCACAGAGGUGGGAAGCUUUAUCACAUGGGAGGCUUCUUGGAGGUGGUCCUCCUUGAGCUGAGUCUGAAAGGGUAAAUUAGAGGUAACAAGAAGGGGAAUAAUGGGGGAAAGGUAUUCUAUUGCAAUAGCUGGGAGGCAUGAAACAGCAGGACACAGAGGGAGCUGUCAGCAGUUCAUCAUGUCUGGAUUUGGGGCUCCGGAAGAACCUUGGGUGCUAGGACUUCGCUCGUGUUCUAGCUCCUCCCUGAAGCCUGCAGAACUGCCCCAGUCCUGCCAGAUCCCCCUCCUCUGAAAUCUUGGACCAACCUUUUAUAAUUGCAUGUUCCCCUACUGUUAUGGUGUGUGUGUGUGUGUGUGAGUGUGAAGGUUUUGUUUCCCAGUCUCAACUUAGAGAGGGGCCCACAAGCCCAGGGUUUCUCCCACCCAGUGCCUUGCAUCCAGCCUUCACUCCACCGAGGGGGUGGCUCACCCAGUUCCGAGUGGGUGUACUGUUCGGUGGGGAAGCAGACUGAGGUGGUGGGUAGCGGCACCAAAUCCCACAUAGUGCAUUGGGUUUUCAGUCUUAGCGGCUUCUGUAAAGGAUAUGCCUGACCGGGCUGUCAUCUGGGCCAAUGCCGAGGUGAAUGUCCUUCUCAGAGGGAGACCUGAAAGCCCUGGUAUUCAGCCUCUCAGAUGGUGCCCAGUGAGCCCCACCUCCUGGUUUUCAUGGUCUUGUGCAGUCUCCUCCCACAUUGUGUCAGGAUUGAUCGGUAUGACCAACAGAAUACAGCAGAUUGAUGGCAUAUGCCUUUGAGGCUAGCUCAGUAAAAGACACUAUGACUUCUGCAUUAGUUUCUGUCUUGGACUGCUCACUCUGGAAGAAGCCAGCUGCCAUGUUGUCAGGACACACAAGCAGCCCUAUCAGAGGUCCAUGUGGUACGGAACCGAGGCCUCCUGCCAACAGCCAUGAGAGGAGCCAUCUUGCAUGUGGACCCCCAGCUCCAGUCAAGCCUUCAGAUGACAGCAGCCCCGUUCAACAUCUUGAGACCUUGAGCCAGAACAACCCAGCUCAGGUGCUUCCCUUGAUGGGACCAAUAGCCCAGCAGCAGAUGCAGAACUCUCCUCUGAACUUUCCUUAUCUGCCUGGCACAGAGCAUGGAGAAUCAGCAGUCACCCGCCACCUCCACCCUCCAGCUGCUCUCCAGUCAGGGAGGCACCGACCUUGGGCACCAGGACAUUCCCAAAGAAAUUGUAUAAGAAUCCUAAGGCACAGAGAGGUUAAGCAAUUUGCUCAAGGUCACACAGCAAGUAGUAGCAGCGUAGGAAUUCGCACCUGGGCAGCCUGGCUGUGCAUUCUGUCCUGAGCUCAGCCAGGCACCUGCGGAGAGACCCUCACACUUCCCCGUCUGCCUACACCAGUGGUUCUCAACCAAGAGCAGUUUUGCCCCCCAAAGGACAUGUGGUGAUGUCUAGAGACAUUUUUGAUUGUUGUGACCAGAAGGCUGCUACUGGCACCUAGUAAGUAGAGGCCAAAGAUGGUGCUAAACGUUCUGAAAUGCACAGGAUCAGGCCUCACAACAAAGGGAUUACCUGGUCCAAAAGGUCAGUAAUGCCGAGGUUGAGAAACUGACCUGGGCCCAUCUCACAGCCUCCUUGAGGCUGAGGACCCUCCACCACACACACGUCCACACACACGAUCUGAUUUCUGUUACGGUGGUGGUCCAGGGUCCUGGGGGUGGGGGCAACAUGCGUCCUCACCUCAGCAUCUCUUAGAGGCCACAUCAGAACGUGAAAGACUCAGUUUGCACUGCAGCUACAAGUUUUUGGAAAUUAAGAAUUUUGAGGCACUGACAAAUGUAGCUGAUGUUAUUUUGUAUCAGGCUCUGUGCUAAGUAAGCAUUUCACAUAUUUUAUCUUAGGAAAUCUUCAUAAACCAGUCUUAGAUGCUAUUAUUAUCCCUAUUUCAAAGAUUGGGAAACUGAGGCUGAAAAAGGUUAAGGAACUCACCCAAGGUCACACAGCUAAUAGGUGACAGGGCCAGGUUUCCAGCUGACCCAGGCAGACUGAUGGCACAGAUGUACAUACCCAGGCAAAGUAAAGACAGCAAAUUAACAGGGAGAGCCCGCCUGAUGCCCACCCUGGGGCUGCCGGAGGUCAGGGGCUUGGUGCCCUCCCCUGGGACGGAGAGAUCAGCACCACUCACUCCACUGCACAGCUGCAACCAAGACUCUCCAAGCUGGGCAGAAAGCAGCUUGACCUGCCAGGGUUCUUAAAGAGGGAGGAGUGGAGAAGGCAGAGGUGGGUUGGUUUUGUACAGGGACAGUAAAGACAGAAAACCCUCCAGGAAGAGAUGGGUGAAGAAGGCAGGCUUGGGAGGUCUUUAUUAUUUACUAUAGCAGGGGAAAGUAUGGGAAGCUUGUUCCUAAGCCAUAAAUGCCCUCCUUUGAUCCCUGUGCAUAUCAGAGAUAAAUGAGUCACUUAGGCCUAAGGAAUUAAUGAUUGUUCUGAUUAUUACCUUAAGUGACCUUCCAGCAAUAGUAAUUCUCACCACUCCCUGCAAAGUAGCUGUGUCGGGGUUUGACCAGGGUUGGGGAAGAGGCCGGGACUGAAGUGGGGAGAGUUCCUUCGGUGAUUGGGCUCAGUUUGCAUACAGGAAAUCAGCCUCAGCUCUUCAGGCCAGAGAACAGUUAGACUCAGACCCCAACUUCUGGGCUCUGCCUUCUUCUUUGCCUUCAGGGCCCUGUUGAAUCCUGACCCCACUGAGAGGGUUGGACCAGAAGUGUGUGCAGAGCUACAGGGCCAUCUGAAAGCAAGAGGUCGUUUGGUGCAAAGUUAACAUGACCUUCCGCAGGCCCCUUCCCAUUCAGAUUCAAGGAAGAGCUUUGAAGUUUCCUUUGUGUGCAUGUUUUCAUAGCCCUGAUCCUGCUGUACUGGAAUUAGCCUGCAGCCCUGCCCAUCCCUGGAGAUUUAUUCCCCAACUACAAAAAUCUUAGAAAAAUACUGCAAGCUCCACCCACCAUCCCCAAGCCACUGGCUGCUUUUUCCUCAGGCUAAAAUACAAAGGAGACCUCAGAACCGCCACCAGGAGACAUUUUGUACGUGUUUAUAGUUUCUCUAGAGUCAUUCCGAUGACCCCCUAGAACCGGAUCUCAGGGCAAAAGCUUCCAAGAUGUGCGUGCUGGGAGGUGGGGCGAACGUGGUAAGAGGAAGGGUGAGAGAACAGAUUGUCCCUGAAGCUGCCAAGGGCCAGGGCAGUACCAGCAGGGUCCAAAGAGAAGAAAAAGCAGGUGGACUGAGCCUUUCCAGUCGUACCCCAUGAGCCAACCACUGCACUUUGUGUAGACAAACAUCAGUCUCAGGAAUCUUUGUUGCUCUGAGCGUCACAAAAGGGCCUCUGCUAUCAUAUUGCCCAACGCCACCAGGAGCUCUGUA